rnacentral:tRNA from 1 species
AUUUAUAUAGUUUAUUAAAAACAUUCCAUUUUCAAUGGAAAAAAAAGAAAAAUCUUUAUAAAUA